rnacentral:rRNA from 1 species
AUUGAACGCUGGCGGCGUGCUUAACACAUGCAAGUCGAUCGGUAACGCGGGGGCAACCCUGGCGACGAGAGGCGGACGGGUGAGGAACGCUUGGGAAUCUGCCUAUCAGCGGGGGACAACACGGGGAAACUCGUGCUAAUACCGCAUACGCUCUACGGAGGAAAGCCGGGGACCGCAAGGCCUGGCACUGAUAGAUGAGCCCAAGUCGGAUUAGCUAGUUGGCGGGGUAACGGCCCACCAAGGCGACGAUCCGUAGCUGGUCUGAGAGGACGAUCAGCCACACGGGGACUGAGACACGGCCCAGACUCCUACGGGAGGCAGCAGUGGGGAAUAUUGGACAAUGGGGGAAACCCUGAUCCAGCGACGCCGCGUGGGUGAAGAAGGCCUGCGGGUUGUAAAGCCCUUUCGGUAGGGACGAAAGCUCUCGACCUAACACGUCGGGAGGUUGACUUAACCUACAAAAGAAGCACCGGCUAACUCUGUGCCAGCCGCCGCUGUAACAC